UAUUUAAAAGAUAAUUAUAUAAAACAAUAAUUAUGGCCAGGUGUGGUGGCUCCUGCCUGUUAUUUUUAAACAAAUUCUCUAGGAGGCAGGUUUCAGGGUUUUAACCACAAUUCCUUAGCAAAAAGCAGAGAAAGUAGCAAUCAUGGCCUAGAACUAAAAAUACCGUUUCUCAAUAAUGGUGUAGGCUAUAUCACCAGACAGAGUGCAUCCUCAAUGCAUCACAGUGGGGGGAAGUUGCCAGAAACACUAGGCUUAAAUGGAGAAUGAAAAUAAAGGCAUUUCAGUAUAUUGAAAGGGGUCUCAAAUAAGGUCUCAUGAUGAGGGUUGCCACCAUUAUAAACUUGUAAGCUUUGAAUGAAGGCAGGAAUAGUUCAAAUACGUAAG
rnacentral:lncRNA from 10 species